CAGGCCAUGGGCGGGGAAUGAGGAUUCAGUGGCCGCUGCCUGCGAAGGCCUGGGAUCUGGGGAGUCUGCCACGCGGCCAGGAAACCAAGGCUUGGUGGGACUCAGGAAUACUCAAGCCCUGCUGCUGGAAACAGGAAGAACCAGGCCUGACCUCUGCAAGGCUGACCUGUAAGUCCAGGACCUGUCUUUCUGCACCCCGUGCUCGGGUGUGAAUAUUUCCUGAGGGCCAGAGAGUGGCCGGUGCAGCUGUACUUUGAGGCCUGCAAGAAACCGACUGAGGUUGCAGAGCACAGCGAGUCAUCAUGCCAGGGGCUGGGCAUGGACUAGGCUGGGCCUGGGGUUGGGGUCCCUGCUCAGGACAAAUCCACUCGACCAACUUCCGCUUUUGUUCUUGUGUCCGGCAGGAGUUGGUGGUCUCUAGGGAGGACAAUGAGACUAAUUCAGGGCAAGGAGAGAACGCACCAAGCUCUGAGCAGACUCUGAGCGGAUCUCAGAUUCCCCACAGCUCCCUGGGCACAGCCGCCUCUGCUCACAUCCGUCCUCCUGCACAGGACAGCGCUUCCCAGCUUCUGCUCUUCAUCCACGUGGACCCUCACAGCAGCCGGAAGUGACGGAAACCUGGCUGCUACCACACUGCCCUGCAUUGGAAGCUGGAGCUGAGACUUCUGCACUCAGCAUGCAUCCAGCCUCUCACCGCUGUUCACCCUUGUGGUGCUCUCCUGGGUUCCCCACCGAGAGGUGCUUCCAGUGCUGUCCUUCCAGAGACGCUGCUGCUUGUGCGUGCACGUGUGUCCUCGUCCUCUGCCUGGCCACCCCACGGCCGCCAGCAACAGGCUGUGCCCCUGUUGGCUCACUUGGUGCAUCUUGGAGACUGCUCCACUCCAGAACCACACAUUGCCUGCCCCACGGGCCCAGCAGAGCUCCACGGUGCAGAAACCAGUCACGGAUGGACCGCAGCCUCUGGGGCCGAGGCGCCUGUGCCCUGCUCCGACCCCGUGGUCUGCACAGUGGGGUGGGCGGCAUCGCUCAGUGCCGAAAACACUGACGUCGCUCCGUGACCUGAAGGGAGCUUUGCUUUAUUCUGACUUCUGAAACCUGCUUCUUUGCUUCACCAAAAACAUGUAAACCUUUAGAUUGAAACAAUCAUUAAAGUAAAAGACACAUGGCCAUUACGGCCCCAGUUCCCCGCCACUUACCCCAUUGUUUUCGUCACUUUCCGAAGCCGUUCUGGAAAUCCUCUUCGGUGAGUGUUCGUGAGUUGGGAUAAACAUUCUGACGUAUGCUGCUGUCGACUGCCGUCCAGCAGAAAGGCGGGCUCAUAAAAACACCAGCGCGUGUCAGUUUUCAUCUUAUUCACCGGAACUGGCACCGUGCGACUUCCCUCUCUUCCCCAGUCAAAACGGCCACGAAAGGGAAACGUUUUGAAUCAAUUCAGGACAUCCAGGCAGCCAGGACAGCGCAACUGAGAACUGC